UACGUAGGGGGCAAGCGUUGUCCGGAAUCAUUGGGCGUAAAGAGCGCGUAGGCGGUCCGGUAAGUCAGCUGUGAAAGUCCAGGGCUCAACCCUGGGAUGCCGGUCGAUACUGCCGGACUAGAGUUCGGAAGAGGCGAGUGGAAUUCCCGGUGUAGCGGUGAAAUGCGCAGAUAUCGGGAGGAACACCAAUGGCGAAGGCAGCUCGCUGGGACGUUACUGACGCUGAGACGCGAAAGCGUGGGGAGCAAACAGG
rnacentral:rRNA from 1 species